GGGCGUCUCGAAAAUGAAUCAAAACUUUCAACAACGGAUCUCUUGGUUCUGGCAUCGAUGAAGAACGCAGCGAAAUGCGAUAAGUAAUGUGAAUUGCAGAAUUCAGUGAAUCAUCGAAUCUUUGAACGCACAUUGCGCCCGCCAGUAUUCUGGCGGGCAUGC
rnacentral:rRNA from 1 species